AAGGAUCAUUACCGAGUGUAGGGUUCCUAGCGAGCCCAACCUCCCACCCGUGUUUACUGUACCUUAGUUGCUUCGGCGGGCCCGCCAUUCAUGGCCGCCGGGGGCUCUCAGCCCCGGGCCCGCGCCCGCCGGAGACACCACGAACUCUGUCUGAUCUAGUGAAGUCUGAGUUGAUUGUAUCGCAAUCAGUUAAAACUUUCAACAAUGGAUCUCUUGGUUCCGGCAUCGAUGAAGAACGCAGCGAAAUGCGAUAACUAGUGUGAAUUGCAGAAUUCCGUGAAUCAUCGAGUCUUUGAACGCACAUUGCGCCCCCUGGUAUUCCGGGGGGCAUGCCUGUCCGAGCGUCAUUGCUGCCCAUCAAGCACGGCUUGUGUGUUGGGUCGUCGUCCCCUCUCCGGGGGGGACGGGCCCCAAAGGCAGCGGCGGCACCGCGUCCGAUCCUCGAGCGUAUGGGGCUUUGUCACCCGCUCUGUAGGCCCGGCCGGCGCUUGCCGAACGCAAAUCAAUCUUUUUCCAGGUUGACCUCGGAUCAGUAGGAUCC
rnacentral:rRNA from 1 species